UCUCUUGCUCUUGCAUUUCAUUUCUUAUUACAUUAAUCCCUUGACCUGGUGCUAGUGUCUCCAAUAAAAAUAAUAGGGUGGGUGCUAGUGCAUCCAAAAAAUAAUAAGGCAA
rnacentral:ribozyme from 13 species